ACGAACGCUGGCGGCAGGCCUAACACAUGCAAGUCGAGCGCCCAGCAAUGGGAGCGGCGCACGGGUGAGUAACACGUGGGAAUGUGCCCUUCGGUACGGAAUAACUCAGGGAAACUUGAGCUAAUACCGCAUACGCCCUUACGGGGAAAGAUUUAUCGCCGAUGGAGCAGCCCGCGUCCGAUUAGCUAGUUGGUGAGGUAAAGGCUCACCAAGGCGACGAUCGGUAGCUGGUUUGAGAGAACGAUCAGCCACACUGGGACUGAGACACGGCCCAGACUCCUACGGGAGGCAGCAGUGGGGAAUCUUGGACAAUGGGGGAAACCCUGAUCCAGCCAUGCCGCGUGAGUGAUGAAGGCCUUAGGGUUGUAAAACUCUUUCGGCGGGGACGAUAAUGACGGUACCCGCAGAAGAAGCUCCGGCUAACUUCGU
rnacentral:rRNA from 1 species